UUCCUACCAAAGCUGAGAGCUUGGUCAAAGAUGAUGACCUUUUCUUUAUGGACAAGAACUUUAUGUAGUUUGGAACAUAAAUGUAGUUUCAAUUUUCUUCUAGAGGCUCCACAUCAGCAGUUAAAUACAUUUAUUGAAGUUCAUAGGAAACAAU
rnacentral:sRNA from 1 species